rnacentral:rRNA from 1 species
UACGAAGGGGGCUAGCGUUGCUCGGAAUCACUGGGCGUAAAGCGCACGUAGGCGGCUUUUUAAGUCAGGGGUGAAAUCCCGGAGCUCAACUCCGGAACUGCCUUUGAUACUGAGAAGCUUGAGUCCGGGAGAGGUGAGUGGAACUGCGAGUGUAGAGGUGAAAUUCGUAGAUAUUCGCAAGAACACCAGUGGCGAAGGCGGCUCACUGGCCCGGUACUGACGCUGAGGUGCGAAAGCGUGGGGAGCAAACAGG